UAGUAUACAUUGUCUUCAAAAGAUUCAACGAAAUGAAUGAUGUUGCGGUGUCGAGACCGCGAUAGCUGGCGCAAGAUAUUGACUUCUUGCAAAAAGGUAUAAGCAGGUUUUUUGAUGCACUUAAUGGCAUACUUCAAAUCCUUGCAACGGGGAGUCCGAAAAAGACGAUGGGCUAAUACUACAGUGCCAUACGAUCCCUUAUUCAGAGGGCGCUCAACUUUAUAACCUUUCUUUUGAAGCAGCUUCAUAAUCACACACACUUUCGAUUCCGAACUUUUCUUCUUUAAUCAAAGUUUGAGAGGUCGAGCAGAUGAUAACUUAAUGUCGGUCGAAUGAUACCUAAAA